rnacentral:pre_miRNA from 1 species
CGGCCUCCUGGAUGGACCAGGAGCUCGACGAUAUGUUAAGGCCGUUCUUUCCAACCCAGACAAGGUUCCACCGCGUGCAUUCUUCCAAGAGUUUCUUGGACAAAAGCAGGAAGUGGAACCUUGUUAGGGUUGGAAAGAACUGCCUUCAAGAAGUCGAUGCUCCAGAUCCAUCUAGGAGGACG